rnacentral:lncRNA from 1 species
UAAGACAAAAAGUAAGGUUUUUUUUAAAGGAUGAAAUUUUUCCUGCAUUGUUCUAGGAAACAGAACUUCGACCCAGUGGAGAGAAGCUCAAUCUGAGGAAUUUUUUUCCUAAAAUUAAAUGCUCUCCAGAGGUGGAAUGGCCAUCCUUUUGAGUGAAAUUUGCCAUAAACUUUCAUUCUGCAGUCUCAGAUCUUUGCUCUUCAUGAGAGGAGGGCCAGGGAAUAAGCCCAGAAAUACAUGGGCCAUCAAUUCUGACUCAAAGCCCAACAUGAGGCAUCAUGAUGUCAUGAAUUGGGGAUCAGAGAGAUCUGGAUUCAAAUUCUGCUUGGGACAUGUCAGAGUGGCCAGAGAUCACAGAUUCUUGGAGAUUAUGAUAGCAUAUGCCAUGCAGGAU